UGUGAACGUUACCAAACUGUUGCCUCGGCGGGAUCUCUGCCCCGGGUGCGUCGCAGCCCCGGACCAAGGCGCCCGCCGGAGGACCAACCAAAACUCUUAUUGUAUACCCCCUCGCGGGUUUUUUUUAUAAUCUGAGCCUUCUCGGCGCCUCUCGUAGGCGUUUCGAAAAUGAAUCAAAACUUUCAACAACGGAUCUCUUGGUUCUGGCAUCGAUGAAGAACGCAGCGAAAUGCGAUAAGUAAUGUGAAUUGCAGAAUUCAGUGAAUCAUCGAAUCUUUGAACGCACAUUGCGCCCGCCAGUAUUCUGGCGGGCAUGCCUGUCCGAGCGUCAUUUCAACCCUCGAACCCCUCCGGGGGGUCGGCGUUGGGGAUCGGCCCUCCCUUAGCGGGGUGGCCGUCUCCGAAAUACAGUGGCGGUCUCGCCGCAGCCUCUCCUGCGCAGUAGUUUGCACACUCGCAUCGGGAGCGCGGCGCGUCCACAGCCGUUAAACACCCAACUUCUGAAAUGUUGACCUCGGAUCAGGUAGGAAUACCCGCUGAACUUAAGCAUAUCA
rnacentral:rRNA from 1 species